UGUAAUUGGAAUGAUGGGAAUUUAAACCUCUUCCAGAGUAUCAAUUGGAGGGCAAGUCUGGUGCCAGCAGCCGCGGUAAUUCCAGCUCCAAUAGCGUAUAUUAAAAUUGUUGCAGUUAAAAAGCUCGUAGUUGAAUUUCUGCUGCAUUGCUUGUGUCCCUCUGGGGUCUGUGCAUGUGGCUUUUUUCGGACGGAGUUUCUUUGUCUGAAUGUUUACUUUGAGAAAAUUAGAGUGCUCAAAGCAGGCUUUCGCCUUGAAUAGUUUAGCAUGGAAUAAUAAAGUAGGACUUUGGUUCUAUUUUGUUGGUUUUAGGUACCAAAGUAAUGGUUAAUAGGAACAGUUGGGGGCAUUCGUAUUUAACUGUCAGAGGUGAAAUUCUUAGAUUUGUUAAAGACGAACU
rnacentral:rRNA from 1 species